UACGUAGGGUGCGAGCGUUGUCCGGAAUUAUUGGGCGUAAAGAGCUUGUAGGCGGUUUGUCGCGUCUGCUGUGAAAAUCCGGGGCUCAACCCCGGACUUGCAGUGGGUACGGGCAGACUCGAGUACCGGAGAGGAGAGUGGAAUUCCUGGUGUAGCGGUGAAAUGCGUAGAUAUCAGGAGGAACACCGGUGGCGAAGGCGGGUCUCUGGGCAACAACUGACGCUGAGGAGCGAAAGCGUGGGGAGCGAACAGG
rnacentral:rRNA from 1 species